GUUUGAUCCUGGCUCAGAUUGAACGCUGGCGGCAGGCCUAACACAUGCAAGUCGAGCGGUAGAGAGGAGCUUGCUCCUCUUGAGAGCGGCGGACGGGUGAGUAAUGCCUAGGAAUCUGCCUGGUAGUGGGGGAUAACGUUCGGAAACGGACGCUAAUACCGCAUACGUCCUACGGGAGAAAGCAGGGGACCUUCGGGCCUUGCGCUAUCAGAUGAGCCUAGGUCGGAUUAGCUAGUUGGUGAGGUAAUGGCUCACCAAGGCGACGAUCCGUAACUGGUCUGAGAGGAUGAUCAGUCACACUGGAACUGAGACACGGUCCAGACUCCUACGGGAGGCAGCAGUGGGGAAUAUUGGACAAUGGGCGAAAGCCUGAUCCAGCCAUGCCGCGUGUGUGAAGAAGGUCUUCGGAUUGUAAAGCACUUUAAGUUGGGAGGAAGGGCAGUAAAUUAAUACUUUGCUGUUUUGACGUUACCGACAGAAUAAGCACCGGCUAACUCUGUGCCAGCAGCCGCGGUAAUACAGAGGGUGCAAGCGUUAAUCGGAAUUACUGGGCGUAAAGCGCGCGUAGGUGGUUUGUUAAGUUGGAUGUGAAAUCCCCGGGCUCAACCUGGGAACUGCAUUCAAAACUGACUGACUAGAGUAUGGUAGAGGGUGGUGG
rnacentral:rRNA from 1 species